rnacentral:tRNA from 1 species
AAAAAGAUAAGCUAAAAAAGCUAGUGGGUUCAUACCCCAUUUAUAUAGAUAAUAUUCUAUUCUUUUUA